GUUUCGUAAAUAUUUCUUCUUCUCCUUUACAUUCAAGGUGGUCUUGGAAAAUUUGUAUAUGCUGACAUCAGAUAGCAUGAAAAUGACAUUUCACAUUUCUGCAUGAUGAUGCUACUUGUUUUGAAUGCUUUUUUAAAAAGAGGCUUGUAGCACCCUAUAAUGUAAUAAUUUCCUGAAAAUGUAAUACAAUUUGCACUUUACUCGAUCUAAAAUGUUACAAAAAAAACGAUAAUGUAAUAACUUCACCAAUAAUGUAAUAAAAUAUUCUGACUGAUAUUGUAAUAACAUUUUAUUACAUUUUCAGGAGUUUUUUUCCCCCAAAACUGAUUAUGAAAUACUUGACAGAUAAUAUAUAUAUAUAUAUAUGUUCCUUUUCAGUCCAGAGUUCUACAUUUUGUGUAAUCUAAGAAUGUUAUAUACACUGUUUUUGAAACAACAGAAAGACUAUUGGGUUAAAUAGACCGACCUUGAGUACCACACGGUCUUAUGUACGUGUACAAAUACGAAGGGACAUGCAACUACAUCCUGGUCUUAUGAGUGGGUGAUGGACUUACCUCCUUGGGAUACCAGAAUUCCAACUCAGAUAAACUUCUGAGCAUCACUGGAGACCUUUAGGGAUGGGCAACUGGAGGCCCGGGGGCCGCAUACGGCCCUAACCCUCACUUGAAGUGGCCCUCAGUACAACUACAUGCAUUUGAGCAUGAAAUCUUAAAAGUGCAGUGUAGAAAUGCACAAAAUUACUUCUUGCAAUUAAUGUUGGUCUGCUGUUCUUGCACUGAAAAAAAAAAUCACAGUAAGUGGUUAUUUUUUAUUUGCUUCAAACCUUUUGUAUUCCUAUUUAUAUUCCUAUUAUAUUCAUUUUUUGUACUUUCUAUAUUGCUGAUUGAUAUUUACAUGUGCACAUCAUCCAGGCGAAAAAUAACCCUUUACCCCCGCUGCUGAAAGAAAUCCUAGAGGAAACACUGGUUGAACCAUAACAGUCUCGAGUAAACCAGCAGUGGUGACAGGUUUUAGUUGGAAAGUUGCUUUAGGAAGUUCACAGUUUAAAUUCUUUAGUUAUGUUGUUGCAUGAGCAGGUCAGUCCUGGACUUUCCUUAACACGGGUGUCGAUUAAGAAAAAGAACUGAAGAAACUUAAGAGAAUUAUUUAACUUUUAUGAUUUAAAAAUAUAACUAAAUAAAUCUGUAUAGACUCUAAAUCAGGGAUGGGCAACUGAAGGCCCGGGGGCCGCAUCCGGCCCACACCCUCACUUGAAGUGGCCCUCAGUACAACUACAUGCAUUUGAGCAUUUUUUGAGCAAAUCUUAAAAGUGCACAAGUGUAAAAAUGCACAAAAUUACUUGCAAUUAAUGUUGGUCUGCUGUUCUUGCACUGGAAAAAGAAAGUAAUCAUAGUAAGUGGUUAUUUUUUAUUUGCUUCAAACCUUUUGUAUUCCUAUUUAUACUGUUCUACACGCAUUUGAGCAUGAAAUAUAAGUUACUGCACUGUAAGCAUAUUUAAAAUUGCAAUUUCAUCAUAUCUGGUUAAGUGCACGGUCCUAUAUGUGGCCCUGUGGUAGUGUCCAUGAAAAAUUGUGGCCCCUUCCAGCAUUUAAGUUGCCCAUCCCUGCUCUAUGUCAAGUGACAUAGUGGUCAGCUGACAUACUGUCUUAAUUAUAGUAUAUUAUGACAUUUACUUAAGACCAGGAUGUAGUUGCAUGUCCCUGCAUAUCUGUGCAAUCUAACCCAAUAGUCUUUCUGUUGUUUCAAAUCCGGUGUGUAUAACAUUCUUAGAUUAUCAAAAAACAAAAUGUAGAACUCUGGACUGAAAAUGAACAUAUAUAUAUUACAUUAUCUGUCAAGUAUUACAUAAUCCAUUUUGGGGAAAAAACAACUCCUGAAAAUGUAAUAAAAAUGUUAUUACAAUAUCACUCAGGAUAUUUUAUUACAUUAUUGGUGAAGUUAUUGCAUUAUUGGGUUGUAUUACAUUUUCGAUUGAGUUAAGUGCAAAUUUUAUUACAUUUUCAGGUGUUAUUACAUUAUCAGGAAAUUAUUACAUUAUAGGGUGCUACAAGUCUUAAACGUACAGUGUCUAAAUGUAAAAACAAACAAACCCUAAAAUAAAAUGCAAAAACAGGAUUAAAGUGUUAUAUUAUUUGAACAUGUGUUAAUUUUUUAAGUAAAUUCAUACUUUUAGUAAAAAUGCAUAUGAAAUGUAUUGCUCCACCUGUAACUAAUGCUUUAAAAGUUCAAAUAUGAAAUAUCUUCCGGGAGCAGCGGCAUGUUUUAUAUCUUGUACAGAGAUAGAGAGAGAUUUGAGUCUUUAACCCUUUAUAAUGACAUUUAUUGUUUUUUCAAGCAGGGGUUCCAAACCUGGGACCCCGCGAGUGGUCAUGGGAUGAAUCUAAGAGGUCACCAAUAGUAAAAGAAAAAAAAAGAAAGAAAAAAGAAUUUUGUUACAGCAUCUUGUGUUUGUUUUUUCUGUAAUCAUGGCCUCUUUUAUGUGAAACUCUCAGUAAUUUUCUAGCCACACAGCAAUGAUCUGGGUCCAAGCAGGUUGAACUAAACAAGCUCUUGAAAAAACAAACCAUAUUCAUGAUUUGUUUGCAAGUAGCAAAACUUGAAUGGGAAAAAAAUAAUAACAACUACACAUCAUUCUGCUGGUUUCAUCUGUACUGUAUGUGUCAGUUUUGGCAGCCUUGUGGAGAUAUACAUGUAGAGGGAACUGAUUUGACAUAUUUUCAAAUUGAUCUGAAUUGAGUACAGGUGAUUUAUUUAGAUUCUCUAAUUUUUUUUGCAAAUUCUAUGCAUUGACUGAGUCAUGACACUAGAUUGUGCAAACCGAAUUUCGUAUGAAUGCAUGCAGCCAAUGCAGGAGUUUUUUGGAUCUGUGGCGCCCCCUUGAGGCUCAAAUUUCAAUGCAUACAUGAGCAACUGCAAAUUGAUGAAUCAAUGAAUAAAUAAAAUAAAAUAAAAAAUAAUAAAAUAAAAAUAAAAAUCAAAA